UAGCAUAAGAAAUUUCAUGAAAAGAAAUUUAUGUAAUCGAUAGCCUCAAACCAAAUAGAAAUGUGUUAUUGUCGAAUAAUGUCACUUCAUAUUGCCCUGCAUUUUCUAGUGGACUCGUCAUUUUGUAUAAAGUGACCAACCAAGAAGUCAAAAAGGAAGAAAUGUUCCCUAUUAUGAUUUCAUUUCUUAUAUUCAUACGACGAAUUUAGAUCUUCUACAUCUACAUGGUAUGGUGCAGUAGAUUCUACAAUCGUUGCACUACAC
rnacentral:lncRNA from 1 species